rnacentral:rRNA from 1 species
CAGUCGAACGGAAAGCGCUCUUCGGAGUGACUCGAGUGGCGAACGGGUGAGUAACACGUGGGUGAUCUGCCCUGCACUUUGGGAUAAGCCUGGGAAACUGGGUCUAAUACCGGAUAGGACUACGGCCUGCAUGGGUUGUGGUGGAAAGCUUUUGCGGUGUGGGAUGGGCCCGCGGCCUAUCAGCUUGUUGGUGGGGUGAUGGCCUACCAAGGCGACGACGGGUAGCCGGCCUGAGAGGGUGUCCGGUCACACUGGGACUGAGAUACGGCCCAGACUCCUACGGGAGGCAGCAGUGGGGAAUAUUGCACCAAUGGGCGCAAGCCUGAUGCAGCGACGCCGCGUGAGGGAUGACGGCCUUCGGGUUGUAAACCUCCUUUCAGCACAGACGAAGCGCAAGUGACGGUAUGUGCAGAAGAAGCACCGGCCAACUACGUGCCAGCAGCCGCGGUAAUACGUAGGGUGCGAGCGUUGUCCGGAAUUACUGGGCGUAAAGAGCUCGUAGGUGGUUUGUCGCGUUGUUCGUGAAAACUCACAGCUUAACUGUGGGCGUGCGGGCGAUACGGGCAGACUGGAGUACUGCAGGGGAGACUGGAAUUCCUGGUGUAGCGGUGGAAUGCGCAGAUAUCAGGAGGAACACCGGUGGCGAAGGCGGGUCUCUGGGCAGUAACUGACGCUGAGGAGCGAAAGCGUGGGGAGCGAACAGGAUUAGAUACCCUGGUAGUCCACGCCGUAAACGGUGGGUACUAGGUGUGGGUUUCCUUCCUUGGGAUCCGUGCCGUAGCUAACGCAUUAAGUACCCCGCCUGGGGAGUACGGCCGCAAGGCUAAAACUCAAAGAAAUUGACGGGGGCCCGCACAAGCGGCGGAGCGUGUGGAUUAAUUCGAUGCAACGCGAAGAACCUUACCUGGGUUUGACAUGCACAGGACGUGCCUAGAGAUAGGUAUUCCCUUGUGGCCUGUGUGCAGGUGGUGCAUGGCUGUCGUCAGCUCGUGUCGUGAGAUGUUGGGUUAAGUCCCGCAACGAGCGCAACCCUUGUCUCAUGUUGCCAGCGCGUUAUGGCGGGGACUCGUGAGAGACUGCCGGGGUCAACUCGGAGGAAGGUGGGGAUGACGUCAAGUCAUCAUGCCCCUUAUGUCCAGGGCUUCACACAUGCUACAAUGGCCGGUACAAAGGGCUGCGAUGCCGUGAGGUGGAGCGAAUCCUUUCAAAGCCGGUCUCAGUUCGGAUCGGGGUCUGCAACUCGACCCCGUGAAGUCGGAGUCGCUAGUAAU